UACGAAGGGGGCUAGCGUUACUCGGAUUGACUGGGCGUAAAGGGCGCGUAGGUGGCCUUCUAAGUCAUGCGUGAAAUCCCCGGGCUCAACCCGGGAACUGCGUCUGAUACUGGAAGGCUUGAAUCCGGGAGAGGGAUGCGGAAUUCCAGGUGUAGCGGUGAAAUGCGUAGAUAUCUGGAGGAACACCGGUGGCGAAGGCGGCAUCCUGGACCGGUAUUGACACUGAGGCGCGAAAGCCAGGGGAGCAAACGGG
rnacentral:rRNA from 1 species